UUAUUAUUCUCCAUUUGCUGUAUUCUGCUCUUUAUUUUUUGCCUUGGUCUCUCUUCUCCAUGGUGUCCUUGCCUACGACCCAAGUCCUCUGCAGGAUUUCUGCAUUGCAGAUUUCAGUUCUUCAGGUUUCGUUUAUAUAAUUCAUAUAAUAUUCCUGGCCGGAUUAAUUGUUGAUAUUUAACAUAAUUUUUUUUGUAUUUUAUCCCUAUUUCUAACGUGCACGUACCAGUCAAUAUGAAUGGAUUUCCAUGCAAGAAAUCAAGCACCGUGACUGUCAACGAUUUUCUGUUCACCGACAACAUCCUCCGACGUCGGCCUCCGACGAC
rnacentral:lncRNA from 1 species